ACGAACGCUGGCGGCAGGCCUAACACAUGCAAGUCGAGCGCUACCUUCGGGUGGAGCGGCGGACGGGUUAGUAACGCGUGGGAAUAUACCCAGUUCUAAGGAAUAGCCACUGGAAACGGUGAGUAAUACCUUAUGUGCCCUUCGGGGGAAAGAUUUAUCGCCUUUGGAUUAGCCCGCGUUGGAUUAGGUAGUUGGUGGGGUAAUGGCCUACCAAGCCUACGAUCCAUAGCUGGUUUGAGAGGAUGAUCAGCAACACUGGGACUGAGACACGGCCCAGACUCCUACGGGAGCAGCAGUGGGAAUCUUAG
rnacentral:rRNA from 1 species